CUCCAUCAGAUCUUUUCUGUCUGUGACUAGAUCUUGUGAACCCCACCGGUUCGCCUUUCAUAAGCAGAGCCGACUGUAGGGGAAUAUCCAAAGUGUGACAUACGGUGGCGAAGAGCCAGAGCCAGGAGAUCUGCAACAUGCUUCCGGGGAAUGUGGACCCUCGUCUAUCCCAUCCACUGGCCCGGGUGGAGCUUUACCUUUUGAUUUUUGAUGUUUUUGACUCAUCGGGGAAUUCUUGAGUCACAGCACGAAUUCAACAAGUGCACAAUAGAGCAGCCUCACCGGGGGGGCUGAGAUUUCCGGCAUCUUUCCAACUUUAAACCAUAAUGAAGGGACAAUCAUAUACUCCGAUAAAAGCAAGCCAAUCAAUCACCACCUACAGAGUCAGAGACAAUCCUUAUAAAAAGUUGCUAGAUCAUCCUGAAGGUCUGUGAGAAGACUCAAAAAUGGCAAAAUGUAUUUUUUAUUUUUCUCCUGAGUUUGGAAUCCUUCCAUGUCAAGACUUCCGGACCUUGCCCUACUGACUGUGUCCGAGCUCCUAAAUCUGUUUAAUUUCUGAAUGUAAUUUCCUCUGGGUUUCCAUUCAAAGCCCUUAUCCUACUGUUUCCUUCACCUUCCCAAAUAGACGUUGUAUGCAAAAUUCGAUUUGCCGGUAUCCUUCCUGACUGCUACAUAAACAUGUUUUUUUUAACCUCCAUCAUUGCACCCUUGUUUUAGAGGUUUGCCUUGCCUUGGACAUCUAACCCUAUAUACAAAAUGGCUGC